UACGGGGGGGGCAAGCGUUGUUCGGAAUUACUGGGCGUAAAGGGCGCGUAGGCGGCCUUGUAAGUUGGGGGUGAAAGCCCGUGGCUCAACCACGGAAUUGCCUUCGAUACUGCUUGGCUUGAGACCGGAAGAGGUGAGUGGAACUGCGAGUGUAGAGGUGAAAUUCGUAGAUAUUCGCAAGAACACCAGUGGCGAAGGCGGCUCACUGGUCCGGAUCUGACGCUGAGGCGCGAAAGCGUGGGGAGCAAACAGG
rnacentral:rRNA from 1 species